CAGAGAAUAGUUUAAUUUAAAAUGCCAGCUUUGGGGGUUGGUGAUAAAGGUUUAGUCCUUUUUUUCUGA
rnacentral:tRNA from 1 species